UACAGAUUUUUGGAUUACUUAAGCAAAUUUGAUUGGGAGAAAUACUGUGUAAGUUUAAAUGGACCAGUUUACAAAUCCUCUCUACCUAAUAUUGUGGCUGAAGUACCAGAUAAUAGAGGGGAUGAUGUACUGCUAGGUGAAGAGUUUAUUAGAAACUGUGUACCAUCAAAGGGGUGUGAGACAAACUUACGAGUUUGUUCCUUAUAAUUGAUCCACUAAAAGAGAACAACCACCUUGGCCGUAGUGUCAAUAGAGGUAGCUUCUAUCGAAAAUGUAGUGCUUUUUAAAUAUGGAGCUCGCAAGCUAGGCUGGAUUCUCUUGUUACCAGCAGAGAGAAUAUCAGAUGAACUUAACAAGUUUUUAGCAACACUUUGGAUAGGCAUGAAAGUAAAUGUCAGACUACUGUGCAAAAUAAUGCCUUGUUGGAGCUGGGUGAAGAUUUGGAGUUGAUACCAGUAAAUGAAACAUCAACUAUGUCUCUUUUUGGUAGGUUUAAGCUUUGUAAGUUGCAAUAAGUUUCUUUAUUCUCGGAUAAGCUAGUGCAAUAAGUUGUAUUUACAUAUCUAUUACGACUUUAGAUUUUGAUCGAAAGUGAUGAUGUAUAUGAAUACAUUUGUAGACAUA